GCGACCCCAGGUCAGGCGGGACAUKGAUCGAGUUA
rnacentral:rRNA from 1 species